rnacentral:rRNA from 1 species
AUUGGACGCUGGCGGCAUGCCUUACACAUGCAAGUCGAACGGUAACAGGUCUUCGGAUGCUGACGAGUGGCGAACGGGUGAGUAAUACAUCGGAACGUGCCUAGUAGUGGGGGAUAACUACUCGAAAGAGUGGCUAAUACCGCAUGAGAUCUACGGAUGAAAGCAGGGGAUCGCAAGACCUUGUGCUACUAGAGCGGCCGAUGGCAGAUUAGGUAGUUGGAGGGAUAAAAGCUUACCAAGCCGACGAUCUGUAGCUGGUCUGAGAGGACGAUCAGCCACACUGGGACUGGGAAACGGCCCAGACUCCUACGGGAGGCAGCAGUGGGGAAUUUUGGACAAUGGGCGAAAGCCUGAUCCAGCAAUGCCGCGUGUAGGAUGAAGGCCUUCGGGUUGUAAACUGCUUUUGUACGGAACGAAAAGCCCCGGGUUAAUACCCUGGGGUCAUGACGGUACCGUAAGAAUAAGCACCGGCUAACUACGUGCCAGCCGCCGCCGUAA